GACGAACGCUGGCGGCGUGCUUAACACAUGCAAGUCGAACGAAGUGGCGAACGGGUGAGUAAAGCGUAAUCAACCUGCCCUUCAGAGGGGGACAACAGUUGGCAACGACUGCUAAUACCGCAUACUGACGGCGGGGAUUGCGUCUGAUUAGCUCGUUGGGGGGGUAACGGCCCACCAAGGCGAUGAUCAGUAGCCGGGCUGAUAGGAGGAACGGCCAAAUUGGGACGGAGAAACGGCCCAGACUCCUACGGGAGGCAGCAGUGGGGAAUCUUCCGCAAUGGACGAAAGUCUGACGGAGCAACGCCGCGUGAGUGAUGACGGCCUUCGGGUUGUAAAGCUCUGUUAAUCGGGACGCGGUACCGGAAGAGAAAGCCACGGCUAACUACGUGCCAGCAGCCGCGGUAAUUC
rnacentral:rRNA from 1 species